UACGAGAGGCCCAAACGUUAUUCGGAAUUCCUGGGCUUAAAGAGUUCGUAGGCGGCAUGAAAAGUAGGGUGUGAAAGCCCUCGGCUUAACCGAGGAAUUGCGCUCUAAACUGUCGUGCUUGAGGAACCUAGAGGUGAGCAGAACAGAUGGUGGAGCGGUGAAAUGCGUUGAUAUCAUCUGGAAUACCGGAGGCGAAGGCGGCUCACUGGGGGUUUUCUGACGCUGAGGAACGAAAGCCAGGGUAGCGAACGGG
rnacentral:rRNA from 1 species